rnacentral:rRNA from 1 species
CAUGCAGGCGGUUAUACAAGUAGGAUGUGAAAGCCUGGGGCUCAACCUCAGAACUGCAUUCUAAACUGUGUGACUAGAGUAUUGCAGGGGGAGACGGAAUUUCAGGUGUAGCGGUGGAAUGCGUAGAUAUCUGAAAGAACACCAAAGGCGAAGGCAGUCUCCUGGGCAAAUACUGACGCUCAUAUGCGAAGGCGUGGGUAGCAAACA